GACGAACGCUGGCGGCGUGCCUAAUACAUGCAAGUCGAGCGAAGUUUUUCUGGUGCUUGCACUAGAAAAACUUAGCGGCGAACGGGUGAGUAACACGUAAAGAACCUGCCUCAUAGACUGGGACAACUAUUGGAAACGAUAGCUAAUACCGGAUAACAGUAUUUCUCGCAUGAGAGAUAUUUAAAAGUUGGUUAUGCUAACACUAUGAGAUGGCUUUGCGGUGCAUUAGCUAGUUGGUGGGGUAAAGGCCCACCAAGGCGACGAUGCAUAGCCGACCUGAGAGGGUGAUCGGCCACACUGGGACUGAGACACGGCCCAGACUCCUACGGGAGGCAGCAGUAGGGAAUCUUCCGCAAUGGGCGAAAGCCUGACGGAGCAACGCCGCGUGAGUGAAGAAGGAUUUCGGUUCGUAAAGCUCUGUUGUUAGGGAAGAAUGGAUAUGUAGUAACUAUACAUGUAAGAGACGGUACCUAUCCAGAAAGCCACGGCUAACUACGUG
rnacentral:rRNA from 1 species